GUGGAGCAAUCCAUGAGUAAAGUGGCGACCGGGUGAGUAACACGUGACUAACCUACCUCCGAGUGGGGAAUAACUCCGGGAAACCGGGGCUAAUACCGCAUAACAUCGCAAGAUCAAAGCAGCAAUGCGCUUGGAGAGAGGAGUCCGCGGCCGAUUAGCUAGUUGGUAGGGUAAUGGCCUACCAAGGCAAUGAUCGGUAGCCGGCCUGAGAGGGCACACGGCCACACUGGCACUGAAACACGGGCCAGACUCCUACGGGAGGCAGCAGUGGGGAAUCUUGCACAAUGGAGGAAACUCUGAUGCAGCGACGCCGCGUGAGUGAUGAAGCCCUUCGGGGUGUAAAGCUCUUUCGGCAGGAACGAUAAUGACGGUACCUGCAGAAGAAGCUGCGGCUAACUACGUGCCAGCAGCCGCGGUAAUACGUAGGCAGCAAGCGUUGUUCGGAAUUACUGGGCGUAAAGAGUGUGUAGGCGGUUCUCUAAGUUCCGUGUGAAAUCUCCCGGCUCAACUGGGAGGGUGCGCGGGAAACUGGAGGGCUCGAGUAUGGGAGAGGAAAGCGGAAUUCCUGGUGUAGCGGUGAAAUGCGUAGAUAUCAGGAGGAACACCUGCGGUGUAGACAGCUUUCUGGACCAUCACUGACGCUGAGACACGAAAGCGUGGGUAGCAAACAGGAUUAGAUACCCUGGUAGUCCUAGCCCUAAACGAUGAUCGCUUGGUGUGA
rnacentral:rRNA from 1 species